rnacentral:rRNA from 1 species
AUUGAACGCUGGCGGCAUGCCUUACACAUGCAAGUCGAACGGUAACAGGUCUUCGGAUGCUGACGAGUGGCGAACGGGUGAGUAAUACAUCGGAACGUGCCCGAUCGUGGGGGAUAACGAAGCGAAAGCUUUGCUAAUACCGCAUAAGAUCUACGGAUGAAAGCAGGGGACCGCAAGGCCUUGCGCGAACGGAGCGGCCGAUGGCAGAUUAGGUAGCUGGUGGGAUAAAAGCUUACCAAGCCGACGAUCUGUAGCUGGUCUGAGAGGACGACCAGCCACACGGGGACUGAGACACGGCCCAGACUCCUACGGGAGGCAGCAGUGGGGAAUUUUGGACAAUGGGCGAAAGCCUGAUCCAGCCAUGCCGCGUGCAGGAUGAAGGCCUUCGGGUUGUAAACUGCUUUUGUACGGAACGAAAAGACUCUUUCUAAUAAAGAGGGUCCAUGACGGUACCGUAAGAAUAAGCACCGGCUAACUACGUGCCAGCCGCCGCUGUAA